UACGUAGGUGGCAAGCGUUGUCCGGAUUCACUGGGCGUAAAGCGCGCGCAGGCGGUCUUCUACGUCUGGGGUGAAAACCCGGGGCUCAACCCCGGGACUGCCUUGGAUACGGGAAGACUUGAGGAUCGGAGAGGCAAGGGGAAUUCCACGUGUAGCGGUGAAAUGCGUAGAUACUGGGAGGAACACCAGUGGCGAAGGCGGCUACCUGGACCGGUUCUGACGCUGAUGCGCGAAAGCGUGGGUAGCAAACAGG
rnacentral:rRNA from 1 species